rnacentral:lncRNA from 1 species
AGGGCUGUUGUGCUCUCAUGAGUACGGAGGCCUCUGUCCUCCUAAGCUAGUUUUGAUAAUGAAAUUUUCAAAUCAACGAUCGGCUCCGUUAGGUUUAAUCUAGCAUUUUAUUUACCUAGCGAUUGAAAAUGUUCAAAAUUAAUAAUUUUUAAUGGUUGAUGUCGGCUGCUUCCAAGUUUAAGGGCAUAGAAGUAUCCAAAUCAGAUUAAAUUUUAAGAAAAUUCUUUAUGCUAUCUAUAGUAAGAUCAAUAUCUCUGAUCGAAAAUUUUUGUACUAUAUCAUCGCUUUUUGUGAGUUUUAUUUUUAGCCGUUGAUUUUGAACGUUUUCGAUCACUAGAUAAAUGAUAUGUAGUUAGCCAACAAAAUUAAAUUA